rnacentral:rRNA from 1 species
CCUACGGGAGGCAGCAGUAGGGAAUAUUGCUCAAUGGGGGAAACCCUGAAGCAGCAACGCCGCGUGGAGGAUGAAGGUUUUAGGAUUGUAAACUCCUUUUGUUAGAGAAGUUUAUGACGGCAUCUAACGCAUAAGCACCGGCUAACUCCGUGCCAGCAGCCGCGGUAAUACGGAGGGUGCAAGCGUUAUUCGGAUUCACUGGGCGUAAAGGGUGCGUAGUCGGGGUAAUAAGUCAGUUGUGAAAUCCUGAGGCUUAACUACAGAAUUGCAUUUGAAACUGUUACUCUGGAGUUUGGGAGAGGUAGGUGGAAUUCGUGGUGUAGGGGUAAAAUCCGUAGAGAUCAAGAGGAAUACUCAUUGCGAAGGCGACCUGCUAGAACAUUACUGACGCUGAUGCACGAAAGCGUGGGGAGCAAACAGGAUUAGAUACCCGUGUAGUC